rnacentral:rRNA from 1 species
CAAGUCGAACGCGAAAGUUCCCUUCGGGGAGCGAGUAGAGUGGCGCACGGGUGAGUAACACGUAGGUAAUCUACCUUUGGAUUGGGAAUAACAACCGGAAACGGUUGCUAAUACCGAAUAAUGCAGCGGCACCUAAUGGUGACAGUUGUUAAAGCGGGGGAUCGCAAGACCUCGCGUCUAAAGAGGAGCCUGCGGCGGAUUAGCUAGUUGGUAAGGUAAUGGCUUACCAAGGCGAUGAUCCGUAGCCGGCCUGAGAGGGCGGUCGGCCACACUGACACUGACAUACGGGUCAGACUCCUACGGGAGGCAGCAGUCGGGAAUUUUGGGCAAUGGGCGAAAGCCUGACCCAGCAACGCCGCGUGAAGGAUGAAAUCCCUCGGGAUGUAAACUUCGCAAGAACGGGAAGAAUAAGUGAGGGUUAAUAUCCCUUACGAUGACGGUACUGUUUGUAAGCUCCGGCUAACUCCGUGCCAGCAGCCGCGGUAAUACGGGGGGAGCAAGCGUUGUUCGGAUUUACUGGGCGUAAAGGGCGCGUAGGCGGCCACUGCAAGUCAGUUGUGAAAUCUCCGGGCUUAACCCGGAAAGGUCAACUGAUACUGCAGGGCUAGAGUGCAGAAGGGGCAACUGGAAUUCUCGGUGUAGCGGUGAAAUGCGUAGAUAUCGAGAGGAACACCUGCGGCGAAGGCGGGUUGCUGGGCUGACACUGACGCUGAGGCGCGAAAGCCAGGGGAGCGAACGGGAUUAGAUACCCCGGUAGUCCUGGCCUUAAACGAUGAAUGCUUGGUGUCUGGGGUUUUAUAGUCCCCGGGUGCCGUCGCUAACGCUUUAAGCAUUCCGCCUGGGGA